UAGGGAAUCUUCCGCAAUGGGCGAAAGCCUGACGGAGCAACGCCGCGUGCGUGAUGACGGUCUUCGGAUCGUAAAACUCUGUUAUUAGGGACGAACAAAUGUGUAAGUAACUAUGUACGUCUCGACGGUACCUAAUCAGAAAGCCACGGCUAACUACGUGCCAGCAGCCGCGGUAAUACGUAGGUGGCAAGCGUUAUCCGGAAUUAUUGGGCGUAAAGCGCGCGUAGGCGGUUUUUUAAGUCUGAUGUGAAAGCCCACGGCUCAACCGUGGAGGGUCAUUGGAAACUGGAAAACUUGAGUGCAGAAGAGGAAAGUGGAAUUCCAUGUGUAGCGGUGAAAUGCGCAGAUAUAUGGAAGAACACCAGAGGCGAAGGCAACUUUCUGGUCUGUAACUGACGCUGAGGUGCGAAAGCGUGGGGAUCAAACAGG
rnacentral:rRNA from 1 species